GGUCAUGAUGAUGAACGAACGAUAUGAGAUAUAUACUAGUGUCUGAUUGAGUCUGGGGCAAAAUGAUGGUAAUCAAUUUGUUGAAAUCGAAGGACGGUCCAGUUCAUGUAAAGUUUGUUGUAAACAAUUAGGGAUGCAUGAUAUAUAACCACACAACCCACUAAGAUGGAAAGGGAGGACAUAGAUCUAAUAAAGUUGUGUUCAAGGAAUCCAACUCUGGU